rnacentral:rRNA from 1 species
AGUGGGGGGUGCUACCAUGCAGUCGAGCGCGAAUAGGGGCAACCCUUAGUAGAGCGGCGCACGGGUGCGUAACACGUGGAUAAUCUGCCUGAGUGCUCGGGAUAACCAGUCGAAAGAUUGGCUAAUACCGGAUAAGCCCACGGUUUCUUCGGAGACUGAGGGAAAAGGUGGCCUCUGUAUACAAGCUAUCACAUUCAGAUGAGUCCGCGGCCCAUCAGCUAGUUGGCGGGGUAAUGGCCCACCAAGGCAACGACGGGUAGCUGGUCUGAGAGGACGAUCAGCCACACUGGAACUGAGACACGGUCCAGACUCCUACGGGAGGCAGCAGUGGGGAAUUUUGCGCAAUGGGCGAAAGCCUGACGCAGCAACGCCGCGUGUGUGAUGAAGGUCUUUGGAUUGUAAAGCACUUUCGACCGGGAAGAAAACCCGUUGGCUAACAUCCAACGGCUUGACGGUACCGGGAGAAGAAGCACCGGCUAACUCUGUGCCAGCAGCCGCGGUAAUACAGAGGGUGCAAGCGUUGUUCGGAAUUAUUGGGCGUAAAGCGCGUGUAGGCGGCGUGACAAGUCGGGUGUGAAAGCCCUCAGCUCAACUGAGGAAGUGCGCCCGAAACUGUUGUGCUUGAGUGCCGGAGAGGGUGGCGGAAUUCCCCAAGUAGAGGUGAAAUUCGUAGAUAUGGGGAGGAACACCGGUGGCGAAGGCGGCCACCUGGACGGUAACUGACGCUGAGACGCGAAAGCGUGGGGAGCAAACAGGAUUAGAUACCCUGGUAGUCCACGCCGUAAACGAUGAGAACUAGGUGUCGUGGGAGUUGACCCCCGCGGUGCCGAAGCUAACGCAUUAAGUUCUCCGCCUGGGAAGUACGGUCGCAAGACUAAAACUCAAAGGAAUUGACGGGGGGCCCGCACAAGCGGUGGAGCAUGUGGUUUAAUUUCGACGCAACGCGCAGAACCUUACCUGGGUCUUGACAUCCUCAGAAUCCUUCAGAGGAUGGAGGGAGUGCCCGCAAGGGCACUGAGAGAACAGUGCUGCAUGGCUGUCGUCAGCUCGUGUCGUGAGAAUGUUUGGGUUAAGUCCCGCACGAGCGCAUCGUCGACAUUAGCUGCCACGCAGUUGAUCUUCUAGAGGGAACUGGCUGAUGUAACCCGGGAGGAAAGGGUGGGGAAUGACCGUCCAAGUCUCAUGAACGAUUAUGGACCAGGGCUACCCACCACC